AAGCGGCGGAGCAUGCGGAUUAAUUCGAUGCAACGCGAAGAACCUUACCAAGGCUUGACAUACACCGGUAACGCCCAGAGAUGGGUGCCCCUUUGUGGUCGGUGGACAGGUGGUGCAUGGUUGUCGUCAGCUCGUGUCGUGAGAUGUUGGGUUAAGUCCCGCAACGAGCGCAACCCUCGUCCUAUGUUGCCAGCGGGUCAUGCCGGGGACUCAUGGGAGACUGCCGGGGUCAACUCGGAGGAAGGUGGGGAUGACGUCAAAUCAUCAUGCCCCUUAUGACCUGGGCUACACACGUGCUACAAUGGGCGGUACAAAGGGUCGCGAACCCGCGAGGGGGAGCCAAUCCCACAAAGCCGGUCGUAGUCCGGAUCGCAGUCUGCAACUCGACUGCGUGAAGUCGGAAUCGCUAGUAAUCGCGGAUCAGCAUGCCGCGGUGAAUACGUUCCCGGGUCUU
rnacentral:rRNA from 1 species